rnacentral:lncRNA from 1 species
GUUCAUCUGAGCUGUCAAAGCUUUAAUCAAUAGGUGAUAUUAAAACAACACAACAAUCAAAGUUACUUUCAUGUAUGAUUUUAAGACGUAAGUUCAUGUUUAUGUUGGUGAAAUUGAAAUGGACAUGAGACACUUACUCUUGACGGGGUCUCGUAAAUAUGGAAUGCAGUGAAGUAGGGCCAGGUGCCACUGAGUUUGAAUUGUUCUAGGAUUUGUCUUUUUGAUAGUAGGCAAGUUCUUAGUCUUCCUGAAAUUUAGAGUUGCAAAAAAAUGUACAGUAGACUUAUGCUUCUUACUGUUGGUUUUGUUUCUUUGCUAUUCAGCAUCUGAGCAUCCUUUAUCCUCUUUCUGGCAUGUGGGCAUUGGUCCCACUCUGGAACAUAAAAGGCCAAUUCUCCUGCCCUGUUGUAGCUUUAACAGUAGCUGUCAAACCUUGUCGUCCAUGAGGAUCACAUGGAAAGCUUUUAAAAGCAUAGAUUGCUGGGCCACACCCCCUGCGGGGUUUGAGUAUUUACAUCUCUAACAAGUUCCCAGGUGAUGUGCAUGUUGCUGGUUAGGGAUCACACUUUAAGAACCACUGAACGAGCAUGUGAGUACGUGGCUUAGGUCAAACAAGGAGAUGCCUCUGUCUGGACUUGAGACAAUGAUGCAAACACAAGGUCAGCUGGGAGACUCUCUGUGAGUAGAGUAGACACAUCAGCAAUCCAGCUCUGGUGGUGGACAGUGUACGACAGCAGCUAUCGAACAGGCAAAUCCAUUGCUUGAAGAAGAGAUUGACAAAGUCUUUCAGAAAGGCUGACAGUAAAAGGAAGAGAAAAUGCCACCUAAGCAAAUGCAACCAAGAGGAAAUUAAGAAACUCAACAGGAUAAAGACUUCACCUCAUCCCGAACUGACCUUCAGAUUCCAAAGUAAUUCCAAGAAAAGUUCCAGCAGGGUUCUCUUUGAGGAAAUAUGACAAAUUGAUUUUAAAAUUUAAAUGGAAGACAAAAAGGCUGAGAAUAACCACUUCAAGAGAAAAAGAACAAGGCCGAGGGACUUUCCUUAUCAGAAAUCACUAUAGAGCUAUUUUAAUUAAGAUGGUAUGAUACUGGUGAAGAGAUAGCCAAGUUAACAAAUAAAACUGAGGGUCCGGAAACAAACUCACACGUGUAUGGAAAAUGGAUUUAUGAUGGAGUGGCUAAUGCAGAUCGAGGUAUUCUCCAUGUCUUUACCCUGCCUGGCUUGCAGGAAGCACUCGGGAAAUUUUUGAAUGAAUGAACGAAUGAAAGAAAGAUAUUUUCAGUCCUAUUCAUUCGCUGGAACUCUCAAGGAGCAUAAAUUCCUCUCAUUUUGGAGAGGAAAAUUAGAAUCUGAAAAAUCUCUUCUGAGAGCUCGCUUUUUGGUGGUUUUCCUGGUUCCUGUGAGGACCCAUGUGUUUGAAUGAAAUAGCUUGCUGCUGACUGAAUGAUUACUUGUCGUUCUGCUGCUAGUACAUGAAGAAUCUCUCUACACAUGGAACGGUAGGAGCACGUUGCAGUGAAGACUUUGUUAAACAUUCUCCUGGGAAACAUACAUUUUGCGUGAGAAACCAGCAGACAUCCCCUCAAAACGGUCCUUUGACCUCCUGAAAAGACUUCCAUUAUUCCAGUUCACAAAUCAAGACAGGCUAAGCUGUAUCAAGCACUCCUGCUCAUUUGACCCCAAACUUUUGUUGUGGUUUUACUCAAGAGCUAAGACAUGAAAACAUGGAGAGACACAAGUUCUUUUGAAACAGUUAGCAGAGUCUGAGAUGCUACUUGCCAAGUACAAGGUGGAUAUUUAAUUUUUGAAGGUGGUUUGUUUCCUGUAUGUAAACUCUCCACCCUUCAGGGUUGAUUUUGGAAGUCAUGUAAACAGUUCAGAUUUCUCCUUGCCAUUUUCAGGGGUUCAUUUCUGAAGAAUUAAGAAGGGUGUAUUCCCUGUGUGUGUCCUGGGGGUUUCCGUUUCAUCUUCCUUCUCCUUGAACUGUAACGUUAGGCUGUGACCUCCUCUUCUGGUCUUCUUGAGCAUGUCCUGUAUCUCCUCUUCAGAGUCUUCAUGGGUGAGACAGCCUUUGUGCACAAGCUCUGACAGAGGUUCAAGGAGAAAGCUCUCUCUGUUUGGAGAAUGUCCUGUUUGGUGCCAAAAAGAACACAGCCUGGUGUACAGCGAUGAAACACCCUUGUUUGUGUCAGCUCUGCCUUUAAUCUCUUUGAAAAUUGGAAUAUUCACCAAAUCUCUUCAAAGAUCUUUUUCAUUUGUAAAAUGAGGUUAAUUAAACUACACUUUGGUCAGGAUAGGUCUGAUUUUGCAAUGAUAACAAGCAUGCCCCAAAUUUCAGUUGUAUAAAAGGGCAAAGGUUUUUACGCGUUCCACAUGGAUCGGCAGGAGAUCUUGGGUCUGGGUAUUUGCUUAGGGAUUCCGACUCCACACCUCAUCAAAUGCUUCUCAAAGCAGCCAACACGUGCUCCUGGUAUUCAGUUUUUAAACCUCUUCCCGAGACCUUGAGUUUAUUAAGUCCAGCAUUUGCUUCUAAUUUAUUUCAGGUGAGGAGUUACUAAAUGUUUUGCCACUAAAAGGCAGAAUGCCAUCUUUUAGGCCUGCCAUGAACAGUUUCCUCACCAGCCACUGCUUGGUUCCUAAACCAAUGCUAUAUAUUUCAGUUUGGGGCACCAUCCUAAUUAUAUAUGAUAAUUUCUAGAAACAUCAUGUUAGUAUGGAUUAUGCUGUGAUAGCAAAUAACCUCCCCCCAAAAAAGUUAAUGACUUAAAACAAUAAAGGAUUAUUUCUCACUCAAGACACAUUCUCUUAAGCAUUGCUUGGGCAAUUACUCAUUACAGCUCCUCGAGGAUCCAAGUUCAACAAAAUGGAGCCACCACGUCACACAUUGUUGAUUGUUGAUUGCUGCACCAAAGAGUAAAGGGAAUUCCAGGGGGUCUCACACCAGCAAUUAAACACACAGCUUGAGACUUCAUGUGUUUCUUCUACUCAGAACUCAGGGGCAAGAAAAAGUCACAUAUCCCCACCAAACAGACUUACUGUGUGACCAGAAAGGGGGAACUUGCAAAUAUCUGACGAAAAGCACUGAUGACCAGCACAAGCUGGUCCCUUCCACUCAUAAAAUUACACGAUGAUGUUAUUCUUACCAUGGUCCAAGGAACUCUUUGGGUGACAACCCUAGGCCACAGAAAGAUAAUCAUACAUGCAUAAAAAAAUUUCACAUUUAAAGAAAUAUUCCACGAUCCAUAAAGUUUGCUCAACUUUCAGCACCGGUGACUGAAGGUAUCUAAUCAUGACUCUAGCAGAAAGCGUACUAGCUCUGUCUACACCCAGCUCACGGCUCCCCA